rnacentral:misc_RNA from 1 species
AAGUCGUAACAAGGUUUCCGUAGGUGAACCUGCGGAAGGAUCAUUAAAACGUAUCCAACGUUAACCAACCGUGAACUGUUUCUCCCUUGGCAUUGUGAAAUUGGAGCUUCGAUUGAAAUUGAUGGGACUUUCGGGUCUUUCUUUCGUUGCAACUGAUACUUUCGGGUAUCGACAAUAGUAACUUUGUUGAGGCUAUUCUUUCUGUUUGUGCCCUCCAUUCAAAGGCACAGCAGGGGGAGCUCUACAAUAACCUUUAUCACCCUUUUUUGCUAGUUGACUUUUUUAAUGUUAGUUUUUACGAAAGUAAAAAUUACACGUUUCAUUAUUUGAACGUAAAAUACAACUCUUAGCAAUGGAUAUCUUGGUUCUC